rnacentral:lncRNA from 1 species
CCCCUGUGCAGAAAGCACAGAUGCCCUGGCACUGGGCAGCCCUCAGCCUGGGUGCCCUGUCCCUGCUGCUCCUGCUGGCACAGAUCAUCCUCGUCGGACUGGGCUUCCACUACUUAGUUCAACAGGGGAGCUGCUGUCAUGGUCCCCAGUGCCUGGAGAACCUCAGCUCUGGGCUACAGGCUUUGCAAGGUAGGAUAAAGGCAAGUGUGGGGUCCUAUCUAGUGGCAUGCUCUCUGUCUCCUGCCACUUCAGUGCCACUCUGCACGGGCUGUAUUUGUGCACAGGAAGCUGCCAGUUCUGCCCAGCUGGCUGGCUGUGGCAUGCAGGGCGCUGCUACUACUUCUCCUCAGCCAAAAGGAACUGGGAGCAGAGCAAGGAGGACUGCUGCUCCAGAGAGGCACAGCUGGUCAUCAUCCAAGCCAACAGCACACUGGUGAGUACCCCUACCCUGCCUGCUCCAACCUCACCAUGGCCAUUGGAUAACAGUAGUGGUCUUCCAGCACAGUCUCUGCCCAUGUGCCUAAAAUCCAUCUGGUAUCUUGAUGCUUUGCUGGAGCUAAGUAGCUGCAGCUGGGUGUCCCUGAGGAAUUCAUGCCUGUCUCCUCCUGUGCAGGCUUUCCUGACACGCGUGUCCCAUAAGGACAUCUUCCAUGUGGGGCUGAAGUUGAGCUCUUUCAGGUCUGAAUGGAAGUGGCUGGAUGGCACCACGCUGAAGGGGCUCUUCCCAAUCCAGCGCACCACUAGCUCCUACAUGGCCUGUGGCAGGGUGUCGGGGUCAGGGCUCUCCGGUGGCCAAUGUGGGGAAGUCCAUGGCUGGGUCUGUGAGAAAAGUGCCGUCACCCUGCAGUGGCUGCAGUCCUCACCACCUGCUUUCGUCUGGGGAAACACCACAUAUACCUGUGCAGGACCGUGGUGACAAUGGAGACAGCCAGUGCACUGAGUCAGGCACACAGGGCACUGACUCAGUACUCACAGCUCUUCAUCUCUCCCCUUUGUUUAUUGUACAUUGCUAAUAAACUUUGACACUCACACUGUGUCUGUCUUUGG